GAGCUUGCUCUUCGAUUAGCGGCGGACGGGUGAGUAAUGCCUAGGAAUCUGCCUGGUAGUGGGGGACAACGUUUCGAAAGGAACGCUAAUACCGCAUACGUCCUACGGGAGAAAGCAGGGGACCUUCGGGCCUUGCGCUAUCAGAUGAGCCUAGGUCGGAUUACCUAGUUGGUGGGGUAAUGGCUCACCAAGGCGACGAUCCGUAACUGGUCUGAGAGGAUGAUCAGUCACACUGGAACUGAGACACGGUCCAAACUCCUACAGGAGGCAGCAGUGGGGAAUAUUGGACAAUGGGCGAAAGCCUGAUCCAGCCAUGCCGCGUGUGUGAAGAAGGGCUUCAGAUUGUAAAGCACUUUAAGUCGGGAGGAAGGGCAGAAAACGAAUACCUUGCUGUUUUGACGUUACCGACAGAAUAAGCACCGGCUAACUCUGUGCCAGCAGCCGCGGUAAUACAGAGGGUGCAAGCGUUAAUCGGAAUUACUGGGCGUAAAGCGCGCGUACGUGGCUUGUUAAGUUGAAUGUGAAAUCCCCGGGCUCAACCUGGGAACUGCAUCCAAAACUGGCAAGCUAGAGUACGGUAGAGGGUGGAGGAAUUUCCUGUGUACCGCUGAAAUGCGUAGAUAUAGGAAGGAACACCAGUGGCGAAGGCGACCACCUGGACUGAUACUGACACUGAGGUGCCAAAGCGUGGGGAGCAAACAGGAUUACAUACCCUGGUAGUCCACGCCGUAAACGAUGUCAACUAGCCGUUGGAAUCCUUGAGAUUUUAGUGCCGCAUCUAACGCAUUAA
rnacentral:rRNA from 1 species